CAGAUAGGCCUCUUGGUGAUCGAG
rnacentral:siRNA from 1 species